UAGUGGCGCGCGGCCUGGGUUUCCCCGGUUCAAGAAGCCACUCGGCGACUGUCGUCGGCCCUGCCGAUCCCACCGUCCGCUGCCUAUAGGAGGCGGCCUCUGCGCCCAGGUGGAGGAGGCGGCACACGAUACCCGUAGCUCACUGGUUGCCAUUUGAUUUUUAGGGAGAUUGGAUUCUUAUCACCAGAUGUAUACCUAAACUAAAGACCAACCAUGUUAAAUAUCCACAAGGGUGGGAGCUUACUGAGCCCACUCUUUGAGAACUUGAGGCAAAGAUGAGAAAAGGUUAUUUGUCCUCAUUGUUUUGGUUACUCUUUUUUUACCUUCUAUAUGUGCUGAAUGUACAUUUAAGAUUCAAUUUUGUCUUAUUUAUGAAAUCCACAUGCAUUUGUACCUGAAAAUGAUCCUCAAGAUGGGAACAGAAAGUGUAAAAGCACCUUCGUCUAUUUUUUGUUUGGCUCAUCCAAAGAAAAUUACGUAUACAACCUUUAUCAUCAGAGGAAGGAAAUUUCCAAGGAAUUGCAUCAAUUCUGUCUGGAUCAGGGCCAUGCAGACCAUAAUCUGAUUGUAAAGGGGGAAAAGCCAGGUAAUGAACACCUUGCUGGCUGACAUGCAUGCAGACAUGAGUUCACAAUUCUGCAACCACUUGCGUAUGGGAUCCCUAAACACCUGAGGAAAGAAAAGGUGAUAGAAAUGUCGACUGUGGUUACAGGGGCUGUCCAAGUGAAGAUUAAAUCCUUUGUGAAAUACACAAAUAAUUCAAGAUGUGCUGACAUACUUUGAUCCAAAUUUCUUGCAAGCUUUAGCCUUUAGACAAGAGCCAGUCCCUUGCAACUUGGUAGCAAAUUUGAUGGGGCUUAAAUCAUUCGCCAUGUGCUAGGUUCACCUUGACUGUCAUCACUGCUAGCCUUUGAUGGUUCAUUCGCGUCAGCAUUUCGAUGACUUGGAUUUAAGAAUCUGUUGGCUCUCAUCACACCUCAACUACCGAGUUGCUGCAAAUUCCAGUAUGAUGGUGGUACUCUAGAGCAGACCUGUACUUGGAUGAUAUCUGGUGUUGUGGUAUCACAGCCUAAAGGCUAAGCAUUUCUUGGAAGACUACCUUGGUUUUGAGCAUAGCAUCCUUGGUUAUGUGGCUCUGGCUCACUUGGGUUUGUCCUUGCUUCUUCUUUGCUAUUGGUCUAUUCUAUCAAAUACCUCAACUUGCGAAAACCACAGGCAAGUUAUUCUAAAUCUUGCUCGGCAAUAAUGUUUUUUUUUUCUUUUUAUCCCUUGGACAAGAAACAAAUAGUGACAAUAUCUGGAGAAAAUCCUCAGUUUUCUCUGGUGACAAAUUAAGACCUUGCUAGUUUUGCAGCUUGGUAUCCUGUCUUCAGAACUAUGCUACUGCCUUCUUGAUGUAUCUUCCACCAUUAUAUUCUAUGAAACCAACCCUAGUUAUUUAUAAAAUGGUUGUCUUUCUU